GGGGUUUGAACCCAUGACCUCCGGCUCCCAAGCCCGGACUCUUUCCACUGAGCCACACUGCUUCUCCACAUUACUAUCACGGUUCAGAAGGGAACUGUAAUGAUAGCCAGCGGAUCCCAUAGCCGCUAGCUAAGGGCCGGGCGCCGUACUGAGCGCCGGUGUAGAGCCCGGGUAACAGUGAUAAACGAGGGUAUUUGGUGAGCGCCGGAGCGGAUCCAGGUAUGACGACGGUAUUUGGCCACUGCUCGUGACGGAUGAAGAGAAACGGCUGCUCGGGCAGGAGGGGGGUCACCCUGCCUCACCAGCUGCCCCUCACCAAGGAGCGGUCGCUGAAGAAGGGCCGCGGGAAAAUCCGGAACAGGUAGUCGGCCCAGGACAGCCGGAGGCGCAAGAAAGAAUACGUCGACGGGCUGGAGAGCAGGGUGGCCACCUGCUCCGUCCAGAACCAGGAGUUGCAGAAGAAGCUGCGGGAGCUGGAGAAGCACGACGUGUGCGGGAGGGGGCCGGGGCAGAGGCGGGGCCGGGCAGCCGGGUCGGCAGGGGACCCCGGCGGCCCUCUCCCUCUUCCCCAGCUCCCUGGUGGCUCAGCCGCAGCAGCUCCAGGCCCCGGUGACGCAGAUGUCCCACAAGGCCGCUCAGACCAGCACCUGUGUCCUGGUAGGCCCCUGCGCGGGCCCCGGCCCCCCGGCACUGUGCAUGGGGCGAGGACCACUGCCCCCAGGGACGUGGUUUCGUGUGGGUGGGUGGGUGGAGAACUUUCUGGAGGGGCCGGGGUGGCGUGGGGUGGCUCGUAAUAUCCCGGCUAGGCUACUGUGUCAGCCUUCUCUCUGACGUCCCUU